rnacentral:rRNA from 1 species
GACGAACCGUGCGAACGUUAUUCGGAAUCAUUGGGCUUAAAGCGCGCGUAGGCGGCGGCGUAAGUGGGGGGUGAAAUCCUAUCGGCUCAACCGUGGAAUUGCCUCUCAAACUGCGUUGCUUGAGGGAGACAGGGGCACGCGGAACUUCCAGUGGAGCGGUGAAAUGUGUUGAGAUUGGAAGGAACGCCAGUGGCGAAAGCGGCGUGCUGGAUCUUAUCUGACGCUGAGGCGCGAAAGCUAGGGGAGCAAACGGG